AUUGAACGCUGGCGGCAGGCCUAACACAUGCAAGUCGAACGAGUGGCGGACGGGUGUGUAAUGUCUGGGAAACUGCCUGAUGGAGGGGGAUAACUACUGGAAACGGUAGCUAAUACCGCAUACCAUCAGAUGUGCCCAGAUGGGGUUAGCUUGUUGGUGGGGUAACGGCUCACCAAGGCGACGAUCCCUAGCUGGUCUGAGCGGAUGACCAGCCACAAUGGAACGGAAACACGGGCCAGACUCCUACGGGGGGCAGAAGAGGGGAAUAUUGCACAAGGGGCGCAAGCCUGAUGCAGCCAGGCCGGGUGUAUGAAGAAGGCCUUCGGGUUGUAAAGUACUUUCAGCGAGGAGGCGUUACCCGCAGAAGAAGCACCGGCUAACUCCGUGCCAGCAGCCGCGGUAAUUC
rnacentral:rRNA from 1 species